rnacentral:rRNA from 1 species
UUAAAAUUGUUGCAGUUAAAACGCUCGUAGUUGAAUUUCAAAGAAUCAAUUUUUAAAAAAUGCUUUAUCGGAUGCGUGUUAAAUGGCGCUACGGCGCAUAUUUUUCACAAAUCUGAUAAUAUGCGUUUUUUAAAAUAAAAUAGAUUCUUUUUAAAAAUUCUUCGUUGCUUUUUAAGUGAUGAGAAUUUUUGUUACUUUGAGUAAAUUAGAGUGUUCAAAGCAAACAGUGUAUAACAGGCAACUGUGUUUGAAUACUACAGCAUGGAAUAACAAAAUUGAACAAGCUAAAAUUUUUGUUCUUUUUUCUUAUUUUGGCUUAGUUACGAUUAAUAGGAGUAGUUUGGGGGCAUUCGUAUUCAGAUGUCAGAGGUGAAAUUCUUAGAUUUUCUGGAGACGAACAACUGCGAAAGCAUUUGCCUAAAAUACUUCCAUUAAUCAAGAACGAAAGUUAAGGGAGUGAAGACGAUCAGAUACCGUCGUAAUCUUAACCAUAAACUAUGCCGACUAGGUGUUGGAUGAAAGUGUUAAAAAUAAAAGAUGAUCUGAUGUAACAAUCGGAUCGUCUUUUAGCUUGCUUCCUUCAGUACCUUAUGAGAAAUCAAAGUCUUUGGGUUCUGGGGCGAGUAUUCGCGCAAGCGAGAAAGUUAAAAGAAUUGACGGAAGGGCACCACCAGGCGUGGAGCUUGCGGCUUAAUUAGACUCAACACGGGAAAACUCACUAGUUUAAGACAAGAGUAGGAUUGACAGAUUAAUAGCUCUUUCUUGAUUUCUUGGAUGGUGAUGCAUGGCCGUUUUUAGUUCGUGAAUAUGAUUUGUCUGGUUAAUUCCGAUAACGGACGAGAUCUUAACCUGCUAAUUAGCGGUAAAUACGACAUAUUCUUAAACAAAGAAGAAUAUAGAUAAAAAUUACAAAUAAGUGAAAAUAUUAGGAUAUUUUUUAAUAUCCUUUUCCCUUUUCAACUUAUUUUGUUUUUUUUAUUCUAUUUCUUUUUUUGUAUAGGAAUGUAUUUACUUGAUUGUAAAGCUUCUUAGAGGGACAUUGUGUGUCUAACACAAGGAAGUUUAAGGCAACAACAGG